GCAUAUCAAUAAGCGGAGGAAAAGAAACUAACAAGGAUUCCCCUAGUAACGGCGAGUGAAGCGGGAAGAGCACAAAUUUUAAAUCUACCUGGUUUUCAGGUCGAGUUGUAAUUUGAAGAAACGUUUUUUACGUUCCGGGUUGGAUUAAGUCCUUUGGGAUAAGGUAUCAUGGAGGGUGAGAAUCCCGUGUAUACCAACCACUGGAAUGUUAUUAAUACGAUUUCUAAGAGUCGAGUUGUUUGGGAAUGCAGCUCUAAAUGGGUGGUAAAUUUCACCUAAUGCUAAAUAUAAGCGAGAGACCGAUAGUGAACAAGUACCGUGAGGGAAAGAUGAAAAGAACUUUGAAAAGAGAGUUAAAUAGUACGUGAAAUUGUUGAAAGGGAAACGGUUGAAGUCAGUCAUGCCGGUGGGAAUCAACUUAGGGGAAACUCUGAGUGCACUUCUUCGCUUGGCAGGUUAGCGUCGAUUUUGGAUGUCAUAAAAUGACUGGGGGAAGGUAGCUCCUUCGGGAGUGUUAAGCUCUUAGUAGAUGUGAUGUCUGAGAUCGAGGAUUGCAACGAAUACCUUUUAGGCUAGCCGCCUGGUCUCUAAUACGAACUUAGGUUACGGACAGCAUGCUGACUGUGAUCUAAUCUUCGGUUAAAAGAUUAGAGUGAGUGUAAAUUCGUUAAGGACGCUGACGUAAUGGCUUUAAACGAC
rnacentral:rRNA from 1 species